rnacentral:rRNA from 1 species
GUCCUACGGGAGGCAGCAGUGGGGGAUAUUGCACAAUGGGGGGAACCCUGAUGCAGCGACGCCGCGUGAGUGAAGAAGUAAUUCGUUAUGUAAAGCUCUAUCAGCAGGGAAGAAUAAAUGACGGUACCUGAGUAAGAAGCCCCGGCUAACUACGUGCCAGCAGCCGCGGUAAUACGUAGGGGGCAAGCGUUAUCCGGAUUUACUGGGUGUAAAGGGAGCGUAGACGGCAUGGCAAGUCUGAUGUGAAAACCCGGGGCUCAACCCCGGGACUGCAUUGGAAACUGUCAGGCUAGAGUGUCGGAGAG